CUGUGGUAAUUCCAGAGCUAAUACAUGCAACCUGUAUACCCUGAUGGUGCCGCUGGAGCGCGUUCGCGCGGGCUCCCGCGUGUGCCUGACGGGUGCUUUUAUUAGACCAAACAUCGCUGGCGGCGCAAGCCGCUAGACUCGUGAUAUGGCGACUCUGGAUAACCUUUUGACAAGCGCACGUACUUCAUUCAUGGAGACGGCGCUGCCACUUUCGAGUGUCUGCCUUAUCAGCUAUCAACCGUUCGUUAUGUGCGACCGAUGGCUUUGACGGGUAACGGGGAAUCAGGGUUCGAUUCCGGAGAGGCAGCCUGAGAAACGGCUACCACGUCCAAGGACGGCAGCAGGCACGCAAAUUACCCAAUCCCAGCACCUGGGGGAGGUAGUGACGAAAUCUAACGAUGCGGGCGCCCAUUCUGGGCCUCGCAAUCGGAAUGAGCAUUUUCUAAACAACCUGUUGAGAACCUACUGAAGGGCAAGUCUGGUGCCAGCAGCCGCGGUAAUUCCAGCUUCAGCAGCAUAUAUUAAAGUUGCUGCGGUUAAAAGGCUCGCAGUUGAAUGUCAGUGUUGGGCGACGGUAAGGUGGACGCUGGAGCAUGGGAACUAAGCGCGCUCGCGUGCUGCUCGGCGACCCUCGGCGUAGCGCUCUCACGCGCGAAACCGGAGCCGUCGGCUGUCGCGGGCGUCUCUCACAAGCUCCCGUCUGUUACAAGCCUCCUCGCUCCAGUACAUGGGUGGUAACUCCUCUCAUCGGAUUGCGUGCGCCUCUGCCGGCCUCGCGAAAGCCGUCUCCCCUUUUUCUCUCUUUGUGUCUCUCGCGCUCGCGCUCUGCGCGUGUGUGUGUGUGCGUGUGCUCUCUCUCCCUCUCAUCACAUCUCAUCUCUCUCUUGCGCCGGGAGCCGGGCGAAAGCUCGCGCCUUCUCCGGGUCGUGCGGGGGGAGUGAGAGAGAACGGAGAGUGUGGCGCCGCGCGCGCGCGCGCGCGUGUGUUGUUGGUGUCGCUGAGCUCGGGGUUUUUUUGCGGGAGCUUUCGGCCUAGCCUGGCGCUAACGGCGUGGCGUCUUCGUGCCGUUGAGUGGGGCGUGGUCUUGCUCGCGGGCCAGAGUGCGAUGUCUGAGGCUCGUGCGUGGUCGCUCGCGCGCGUGCGCAGGGAGCGUGCAUCUCGCGCGUCCUUCUCCUGCGUGCAGCCGGGCGUUCUCGCGUGCGUCAGCUCUCUCUCGCACGCCUCCCGCGUCGCGCGCGCCCCUCUGUGUGUGUUGUCGCAUUGUCACCUUGAGUAAAUCGGAGUGCUCAAAGCAGUCGUAAAGGGCUUCGGCCCUGUGAUAAGUCUUGACGGACUGUCUUGAUUUUGCAUGGUAUGUCGGAAAACGACGUCGAGUGCUGGCUGAGAGUCUUUAGAAGUGGUUUCAAGCCAAAGCCUCGACGUAAUGAUUAAAAGGAACGGUCGAGGGCAUUGGUAUUGCGAGGCGAGAGGUGAAAUUCUAUGACCCCCGCAAGACCGCCUGAAGCGAAAGCGUCUGCCAAGGACGUUUUCAUUAAUCAUGAACGAAAGUUAGAGGAUCGAAGGCGAUCAGAUACCGCCCUAGUUCUGACCCUAAACGAUGCCAACCAUCAAUCCGCGUGAGCACCCUUUUUGACGGGCUCGGCGGGCAGCUCUCCUAUCACGGGAAACCAGAGUCUCUGGGUUCCGGGGGGAGUCUGGUUGCAAAGCUGAAACUUAAAGGAAUUGACGGAAAGGCACCACCAGGAGUGGAGCCUGCGGCUUAAUUUGACUCAACACGGGCCAUCUCACCAGGCCAGAACUCUAGCACGAUUGACAGAUUGAGAGCUCUUUCUCGAUUGAGUGGAUGGUGGUGCAUGGCCGUUCUUAGUUGGUGGAGUGAUCUGUCUGGUUAAUUCCGAUAACGAACGAGACUCUCCCCUGCUAACUAGUCGGUUGGAUCUUGUAUUUCGAUGCGAGUCGUGCGCCGGGUUUUCCUUCGCCUCGCGGCUGCGGUGCGAGUCUCCUGUCUCGCGCCGGGGUUGUGCGUGCGGUCGUGGUCUCUCUACGUCUGUCGCAUGGGCGCGCGAGAGCGCGGCAUGGUGUGAAAGCGCCUGUCGUCCUCGCAGUCGUUCGUGUGGGCGGGUGGUUUGGCCGUGGCCGUGUGUGCUCCUUGGCGUGGGGCGGGCUCUGCCGUUCGUUGCCUGGCGUGUCUGGCUUUCCCGGGUCGUACACUCCAAGUCCGCCGCUUAUGCUAUAAAACUCUUCUUAGAGGGAUCAACGGCUCUGAAGCCGUACGAGACUGAGAGCAAUAACAGGUCUGUGAUGCCCUUAGAUGUUCUGGGCCGCACGCGCGCUACAAUGCCGGGCACAGCAGGUGUUCUCCCUACUCCGAAAGGAGCGGGCAACCCUCUGAAAGCCCCUCCUCAUCAAAUGUUAUCGGCCGGCGAGCAAUCGUCGGUCGAGUGUAUUGGCGUGCUUGGGCCUGGGGCUUGCAAUUCUUUCCCACAAACGAGGAAUGCCUAGUAGCGGCGG
rnacentral:rRNA from 1 species